ACCUUGCUGAUGAGUGCCAAGUAGCACGAAACCCGUGUCCAGGAU
rnacentral:hammerhead_ribozyme from 1 species